rnacentral:lncRNA from 1 species
UCAGUUGCUCUCAGUGGGCCCUUACGCAUUUCCUUAAGCACCUCUUUAUAUAUAACCUUCAAAAUGGACAUUAAUGUAGGGUUUUAAAAGUUGUGUCCCAAGAUACAUGUACCUGCUAUCCUCUUUUCAUAAAGUGCAAACAAAUAACUUUAAAUCUUUUUCAUUAUUUUAUAUUUAGGAGAUUUUCAAACCGUAUAUUGAAUAUUAUACUCCACAGCAUGGAGGACUCUCAACAUAAGAAGUAAAAGAGUGAACUGAACACAUAAAAUGUUAAAAUCAAAGAAUUUAAAAACACAUAGGGUAGAUUUACAUUAUCUUUUUGCUUUUUUCCCCCUUUUGUUGCCAUUAGAUUCAUGACCUGCCAAUACUUUGCUAGACCUUUUUUCUUAUAACUAUUUUUUUUUUUUAAUUUUCAGCUUUGCACCAGGGAUGUCAUUGAGCCUACACUAGCUCAUCACCACAGUGACAGAAUUACCACAGAAUUAAGAAUGUUGCAACACCGACUUGAAUGGCCUUUUGCACUCUUUACACCGAUACAGUGAAGAAUGCAGUCUUACAGAACCCUCUACUCUGGUUCUACAUUUGUUAUGAAUUUCUUCAAUCUGUAUGAAACUCCACAGCCCAUUUAGGCACUAGUCCAGUCUUGAUUGUGCCCAUAACUGCAGCAAAAAUGCCUCCAGAAGUGGCAGAUGCUGGGGACAGAUAGAGCCCAUGUUUGUUGCUGCUGAGGAAGAGGAGAAUCAACCUGAGGAGGAAAAGUCAUCGAUAAAGAGCCUGGUGUGAAAUACAGAAAGGGAAACAGGCUAAAGGCUUGUAGGACCUCAGAAGAGGAGUGCUUUCCUUGAGCAGAGAUGUCUUAGCAUCACAUUCUCUUGCUAUGACAGUAUUCUGUUCUUUAUGAACUUGAACAGUCUCUUAAGCAAUUAUUGAUAUAAAUUGAUAAAUAUUGAUAUAUAUUGAAAAUUAGCAAUUAGUGACAUAAUACUCAUUAUUAUGUCAGGGCAUAGAGAAUAUUCAAAAGCCCUAUCAGAUGGUAGAUAAGUGCAGGAAAGCCUUGUGAAGUGAACAAGCUUUUGACUACUUAGCUAACCAGUAAUUUUCAUUAAAUGUGGGACUUUCAUUAAAUGAGUGAAGAUGUUUCUUAUGUUGUAAUGGAAUGGGAAAUUCCCCUAUAGAUGUAGAAUAAUCUAAGGUAAUUGAAUUGAUGAUUAUUUUACACUAUGUAAAUUCACAAAAGAUUUGAUAUAAUUUCUACAUGUUUUUAUGGCAAGACUUGAAUCCUGGACAGCCUAGGUAGAGUAGUAUAGAAGUUUAUUUUACAGCUAAAAAUACCACUUGAAUAUUCCCUAAUGGCUUUGUCUGGACAACACAGUAUC